UACGGGGGGGGGUAAGCGUUGUUCGGAAUUACUGGGCGUAAAGCGCGUGUAGGCGGCUAGGCAAGUCGGAUGUGAAAGCCCUGGGCUUAACCGAGGAAGUGCAUUCGAAACUGCCGGGCUGGAGUUCUGGAGAGGAAGGCGGAAUUCUCGGUGUAGAGGUGAAAUUCGUAGAUAUCGAGAGGAACACCGGUGGCGAAGGCGGCCUUCUGGACAGAAACUGACGCUGAGACGCGAAAGCGUGGGGAGCAAACAGG
rnacentral:rRNA from 1 species